UAUGUUUUUAGCCCCUCUGAGGUACUGCCUUAGUAAUGGAUGAGAAAAAAUAGGUGGUUCUGUAUUGUCAUGAGCUGAAAUGGCAGAGGCAUGAAUUUUAAUUGAUGAAAAGGAAAGGCCUUUAUCCAGCAUCUCAGUUAAGUAUUG